CAUCCAUACCCUACAACCCAAUCUAUCCCCCAUAUCUUGAACACUUACCAUGUUGUGAUGAUGACCACAAGAUAUUUUGAUCUUUUUAGGAAUUUAUGUUUUUAUAUACAACAACACUAUCCAUAGAGCACCAUCACAAAAGUCCCCUCUUUCUUAAUACUUACGACUUUAACAAAGAAACACCAGGAAUCCAAGCUCAAGUUAUGCUAUCAAGUAUUAUCAUCCUACACUUUAGUUCUAUCCAUAAUCUGUGGGCACGAUUAGGUCGGGUUCAUUUCACGAAUACAGCUUUGGGUUAUUAGCUAGCUUUGCACAAGGAUAUCGAUGUUGCAUUUUUAAAACUAAGGAAUGGUUGGAAUAGGAGAACCCAUGGAAAUUCGAGUACCAAGCAGGCGUUCACUGUUUAGAAGUCUUAGCCUUUUGCUUCCGCUGUGCAACGAAGAUACCGGUCCAGUCACGCCAGCUCUGAUAUUUCGGGGUGUGACAGAUUGGUAUCAGAGCAAUAGGUUUCAGCGAAUUAGGUUUCUGUAGAGGUACCUAGGCUUUAACCUCACUAUCCUCUGGGGACUUAGAUAUCAAGAAUUGAACACAUACAGAAUGCCUAAGACUCGAAUCUGGGUUCCAACCGUUGCCAAAAACAAUGAGUCCACAAUUUUGGUUUUAAACAUACACAAUUGUUGUGUUGAUACACGGUUCGCGAAACAAAUUCAUACAUUAAGCAAAAACUUUGAGAGUUUUGGAUAUCAUGCAUUUAGGACUCUUGGAAACUCAUUAAAGGUCCUCAUUUAGAAACCGUGACUAACAACUCGAGCAAACGCCAUUAUCUAUAUUGUCUAUGCUAUUUUAAUUACCAGAGCAGGUAACCAUGCGGAAUGAAACGCUAGUGCGUGAAUACACGUGAAACUUAAACUAUACGUCAGCGGACGUCGAAGUACAUCACACACGACUUUCAAGGCAAGGCCUCGGGGAAAACCCAAGUGGACACGACAACAACGAUGCUAAUCUCAUCAGUGGGAGAAGAUUUCACAAGAUUCCACAACAGUCGAUACUUAGUCUGAAGAGACUCACAGUUGUUGGCGCUGCAAAAGAAGUCACAUGCAUUCACGUUCUCCCUACUUCAUUUAUGGCGAUUACGCUACGUUUGACAUUCCAUGGUAAUGUCAUCUAACAACCGAUCCUCACACAAAAUUCCAGGUAAAGUCCUUAAAUUUCUUUUAUUGAAAUUUUGACUUUUUGCAUAUAGUGAGUAGAUUUUUGCAUCUCUACUCCACCUAAGGGUCAUUGCAUCGUGAAAAUUUUAUUUCAUGAUAGCGAACACUUAUUUGUUUCAUUUAUUGACAAAUUCAUCUGAUGCGCAUGCAUUAUUUGUUGCGCAUGUGGUUUCACUCCAAAUUGUUGUUUCAUCAAAGUCUAAAUAUCAUUUCGCUAUACUUGAUCUUUGCAUUGUGAUCUAGAUGAACCGCAUUAUUGCAAAGCGUUGACUCUUUGAUACCGAGUCGACAAAUUUCUUGGACAACUCAUUUUCUUUGGAGUGGUAUACAUGGUUUUUCGUUGUAACCAUGUCGAAACUUUCUUAUUGAUACAUGAAUUAAUUGUUGGAUUGU